rnacentral:rRNA from 1 species
GGCUCAGAUUGAACGCUGGCGGCAGGCCUAACACAUGCAAGUCGAGCGGUAGCACAGAGAGCUUGCUCUCGGGUGACGAGCGGCGGACGGGUGAGUAAUGUCUGGGAAACUGCCUGAUGGAGGGGGAUAACUACUGGAAACGGUAGCUAAUACCGCAUAAUGUCGCAAGACCAAAGUGGGGGACCUUCGGGCCUCAUGCCAUCAGAUGUGCCCAGAUGGGAUUAGCUAGUAGGUGGGGUAACGGCUCACCUAGGCGACGAUCCCUAGCUGGUCUGAGAGGAUGACCAGCCACACUGGAACUGAGACACGGUCCAGACUCCUACGGGAGGCAGCAGUGGGGAAUAUUGCACAAUGGGCGCAAGCCUGAUGCAGCCAUGCCGCGUGUGUGAAGAAGGCCUUCGGGUUGUAAAGCACUUUCAGCGGGGAGGAAGGCGAUAAGGUUAAUAACCUUGUCGAUUGACGUUACCCGCAGAAGAAGCACCGGCUAACUCCGUGCCAGCAGCCGCGGUAAUACGGAGGGUGCAAGCGUUAAUCGGAAUUACUGGGCGUAAAGCGCACGCAGGCGGUCUGUCAAGUCGGAUGUGAAAUCCCCGGGCUCAACCUGGGAACUGCAUUCGAAACUGGCAGGCUAGAGUCUUGUAGAGGGGGGUAGAAUUCCAGGUGUAGCGGUGAAAUGCGUAGAGAUCUGGAGGAAUACCGGUGGCGAAGGCGGCCCCCUGGACAAAGACUGACGCUCAGGUGCGAAAGCGUGGGGAGCAAACAGGAUUAGAUACCCUGGUAGUCCACGCCGUAAACGAUGUCGAUUUGGAGGUUGUGCCCUUGAGGCGUGGCUUCCGGAGCUAACGCGUUAAAUCGACCGCCUGGGGAGUACGGCCGCAAGGUUAAAACUCAAAUGAAUUGACGGGGGCCCGCACAAGCGGUGGAGCAUGUGGUUUAAUUCGAUGCAACGCGAAGAACCUUACCUGGUCUUGACAUCCACAGAACUUAGCAGAGAUGCUUUGGUGCCUUCGGGAACUGUGAGACAGGUGCUGCAUGGCUGUCGUCAGCUCGUGUUGUGAAAUGUUGGGUUAAGUCCCGCAACGAGCGCAACCCUUAUCCUUUGUUGCCAGCGGUUAGGCCGGGAACUCAAAGGAGACUGCCAGUGAUAAACUGGAGGAAGGUGGGGAUGACGUCAAGUCAUCAUGGCCCUUACGACCAGGGCUACACACGUGCUACAAUGGCAUAUACAAAGAGAAGCGACCUCGCGAGAGCAAGCGGACCUCAUAAAGUAUGUCGUAGUCCGGAUUGGAGUCUGCAACUCGACUCCAUGAAGUCGGAAUCGCUAGUAAUCGUAGAUCAGAAUGCUACGGUGAAUACGUUCCCGGGCCUUGUACACACCGCCCGUCACACCAUGGGAGUGGGUUGCAAAAGAAGUAGGUAGCUUAACCUUCGGGAGGGCGCUUACCACUUUGUGAUUCAUGACUGGGGUGAAGUCGUA